GGCACCUGGGGGAAGAGGAAGUUGGUGAGAAACCUGAUGAGAGGCCUGGGGAGGUGGGGCCAGACUGAAAGCCGAGUUCCUGGUGACAGCACCCUCGGCCUGACCCUCCCACUGCCCACCCACCAGUCUAUGGAGCUUCCCUCACACUCGACAGCCUCUUCAUCCACCACCGCUCUCUGCCUUGCAGCCCCUGCCCGCUCAGAGCCUCAGCAGCUGGCUUCCCUGCCUGUCGCCUCACCCCCUCCACGCUCCGCCAGACUAACUAUUCUAAGGCACAAAACUGACCAUCACUGCCCCAUUUCAAAUCCUUCAGUGGCUCCCAGUGGCCCUCAGAAACAAGUCCAAACUCCUUGGCAGACACAGGAGGCAGCUCCUACCUAAGACAUUCUUUUCCUCCCUACUCCUUAACUUACCCUUCAAGACUGAGCUUAGACAUCACCUCCCAGGAAGGUUCCUUGACCCACUCAAGCUGGACUAGACACCCCUUCAAGGGCCUUAGCCCGAUUACAGAACAGGUGCUCAACAAAGGCCUAACGACAUCAUGUGUUUAUAAUAAUGCUAGGAGGCCCCAUUGAUGAGUGCCAGGUGCUGGGCUGGGCAGCUUCAACAUGAG
rnacentral:lncRNA from 1 species